AAGUACAUCUAGGCAUGCUGCUAGAUGGAUGACUCGGUUCAAAACGCCGAUGAAGGACGUGACAAGCUGCGAAAAGUUCCGGCGAACUGAACGUAAGUGUUGAACCGGAAAUUUCUGAAUGGGACUUCCCAUAACAUACCCUUUGGGGUAAGGGAACGCAGGGAAUUGAAGCGUCUUAGUACCUGCAGGAAGAGAAAUCAAUUGAGAUGCCGUGAGUAAGAGCGACCGAAAGCGGUGUAGUCCAAACUGAAUCCGUCAUAGUAAUGUGAUGGAGAUGUGGUGUUACGGACUUCCUUUUCCAUCAUUAUUCUGACUUGAAGUUCUCUGGAAAGAGGCACGAUACAGGGUGAUAGUCCCGUAAAGGUAAGAAUGAUGAUGUUGGAAGUAUCCUGAGUAUCAUACCUUGGAAAUGGUGUGAGAAGAUGGGGGGCAUUAACCUCUAAGACUAAAUACGUUUUGAGUCCGAUAGAACAUAGUACCGCGAGGGAACGUUGAAAAGAACCCCUGACCGGGUGUUAAAAGACUCUGAAAUCUAGCAGCUAUAGUAUGGUAGGGCAUUUCGGUGUUCUACCGUGCUCUUUGGAUAAAGCGCCAGGGAGUGUGCUUCUGUGGCAAGGAUAACCUGAAGAGGGGAAUCCAUAGGGAAACCAAGACUCCGCACGCAAGGAGGGAGGCGGUAUGAAAGUGCCGUAAGUCACAGGGGCAUGACCUGAAGCCGGGUGAUCUACUCCUGGGUAAGGUGAAGCGGGGGUAAAACCUCGUGGAAGCCUGAAGAGGUUCUGCGAGCAAGCGUUCUUCUAACCUGGGAGUAGGGGUGAAAAGCCAAUCGAACUCGGCGAUAGCAGGUUCCUGUCGAAAUUGACCUUAGUCAAGUCUCGGACGAGGUUGUUACAGCUGUAGAGCGACGGAUAGGGGAUUUAGGCGGGGAAACCUGUCGGUCCCUUGUCCAACUCCGAAGGUUGUAACAUCGUAGACUCCGGGAAACAGCGGAUCUUGGGGUAAACUUGAUCCGCAUGAGGGGAACAACCCAGACUAUGGUUAAGGCCCCUAAAUGCUUGUUCAGUGAUAAAGGGUAAAGGGUAUCUGUGAUCUUAGACAGCGAGGAGGUUGGCUUAGAAGCAGCCACCCUUCAAAAAGUGCGUAACAGCUUACUCGUUGAGGUCAUGGGUCCCAAAAAUUGACGGGUCUAAACAAGCUGCCGAUACCAUAGACCACGAAAGUGGGGGUAGACAGGCGUCCGUGCCGGGUAGAAGCAUUCUCGUGAGAGGAUGUGGACCGGUACGAAAUGAAUAUCCUGGUGGAAGUAGGAUCCUAGCAGGGCGAGAACCCCUGUCGUCGUAAGGGCAAGGGUUCCUUGGCAAUGACCAUCAGCCAAGGGGUAGUCGGUCCUAACCCAUCUCGUAAUGGAGUAGUGGGAAAGGGAAAGCGGUUAAUAUUCCGCUACUACUUUAGUAUAUGUGGCGACACAGGUGUUGUUUCUAACGCUUUGGGAGAGGCCAACAUAUCCCGUCGGGUAUGUUAAUACAAAUACAUCAUGGGAGUAUCGUAAUGAUGAGAACAUGAUGAAAUUGUAGAUGAGCAGGCCUAUGGUCUGUUUGGCUGGUUCCGAGAGUCCUUGAAAAGGAAACAACAAAAAAUCUGGAGUAUCCGUACCCAGAACCAACACAGGUGCCCCUAGGUGAGAAGCCUAAGAUGUUAGAGGAAAAACUAGUUCAGGGAAUUCGGCAACUUAGUCCCGUACCUUCGGUAUAAGGGAUCCCUGUACUUGUGUCUGUAUAGAUGCGAGUUCAGGGCUCAGUGACAAAGGUGAUCCGACUGUUUAACAAAAACUUAACAUUCUGCUAGGCAGUAAUGCUGUGUAUAGAAUGUGAUGCCUGCCCAGUGCCAGUACUUUAAGCUUCGUUUCAACGGAGUGAAGAGCUGGUAAACGGCGGGAGUAACUAUAACUCUCUUAAUGUGAAUUCGUUGCUUUAAGACCCAAUUGUUAAACAGAAGCCAUAAAAAUUGGGAUAAAAAUCUGGCUAUAUGCUGGAACAUCUGAGAAUCCUACACUACUCUUCUUUUUCAUAGUUGUUUAUUUUCCGCAACAUUAAUAUUGUUGAUGGAAAA
rnacentral:rRNA from 1 species